GCCCUCAACCACAACUACUCUUAAAUAUGGAGGAAGCUGGAGGUUGUUGCUGAAGCUAUUUGUCAAUAUUGAAGAAUUAGUUUCAUUGAGUUUGCAAAUGUUGAAAAAGAUUGAGAUUGCUGAUAUAAGGAAAGAAGUUACCUCAAGUUUAUCUUCUCUAGCUCUGUGGUUCAUCGGAAGUUGUCGGAACUCUUCAGUUAACCGGAGGCAUUCCUUUAUAUUUUCAGGAGAGACGAAAUCUACAGCAACCUUAGUACAAGACUGCAUGGAUAAAACAUAAGCAAUUCAAACAUUGUUCAACAAUACAAUAAAGAUAUUCACCAAUUUCUUGGAGGUCUACUAUCUGAAAAUUAAUAAAUAUAAAUUGAAAUAUUGGUGAAAUAUUU